CCUCUACAAUAUUUGUCCGCGAAUAUUGAAUGCUACUACUAGUAGACUGCCUUAUUGUAAUUUUGUAGAUAAACUGCAUUUUGAAGAAAUGGUCUGGAAUAUUUUGACGCUAUGAUAUUAUUGCAUGGUCAAGAACAACUUGAGGACAUAUCUUGGAGAUGUGAUGCAUGGGAAUUCAUUGUGAUGUAUGGGAAUGCAUAGAGCAUACAAGUUGCACAGACAUUUGCUACUUUAAACAAAAAAGCAGGACAUUGAUAAUCCAUAGGAAUCCAUAACAUUCAGCUUACAGAAAGUGCAUUUUAGUGAUACUGCAGUAUUUUGUAUUGCAUAACCAAGACUACUAUAAAUAAUAUUGAAAAAUUUGAAAAUUUGAUUAUUGUAUGAUGAUGGUACCUUAGUUAUUGUUUGUUUCAGAGAAAUCAGAUUUAUAUUCUGAGAUGGAUUGCGAAUAAUUAAUGCUGAUGGAUUUUGCCAUUAAUAAUUUUCAAUGCUACUGUAUAUUAAAAAAAAAAAAAUCUUGUGUAUGUAAUCAUUUAUUUAUUUAAGGUUUCUUAGAGAAAGAUUAGUGACUGGCACUUCUUCCCAAGGAAUGAAUGUAGGAAAAUGAUAACUUGAACAACAGUUAAGUGUUUUAUGAAUUAGAAUACAGUAUGCAUUGCAUUGUGGUCUACACUAAUUUAUAAACGUAACGGUCGUUGAGCUCAGCUUUUGCUAGACUAGCUAGUGAGUGAGAGGUAUGGCCUUGAUCAGCUAUAUGAUGCAUUUUUGUAGUAGUAGGCCUAGGCCUAGUUGAUAGGCCUCUCUAGGCCUGUCACGAAUGUAGAGAAUUAUUCCUCAUCAGAAACAUAUCUUCAUGCUAUCAGAUGAUCCGACCAUCUUUAUUAAUAUAUGCAGGAAAAAAUCCAAUGCAUAAACAAUAACAAUAAACUAAAAAAGUAUGAAAUAUAAGCCUAGGCACACUGCCCGUGUGCCGCGGAUACACGUACGUCAACGCAAAAACCUAAACAAGAUGACGUAAUUUGACCUUGGCCAUGGUGACCAGACUUUCUACCAAUCAGAGACAUGAAUUUCAUAUGCUAAUUAGCCAAACCGUUUAACACACUGUGUAGGGAAAGAUAAAAUAUAGUUCGCUGUUUUCUGUCUUAAAAAACUCAUUUCCCGAUGUUAGAUUUUGACCGAUUUUUAUUAUGUUGUUUUAUAGAUAUUUAACUACCAAAUAAUAAUAAUUCUGGAUUUAUCAGCUAAAGAAACCUUUUGUUGCAAGUUUGUCCACUCAAAAUCGUAGAUUUCCCUGACUAUAGUACUGUACGUAGCUGUAUGUAUUCCUAUAUGUUGUGCAGUUUAAAAAGUUUGUUUUGUCUACUCCUGCUUUAAUAAACAUUUAAAAGGUCAGUAGUUAUAUAAACACAUAUGUUGUAAGACCAUUUGUUGUAAUAAAUCCUGAACUUGA